rnacentral:rRNA from 1 species
CCCCUAGACGUUCUGGGCUGCACGCGCGCUACAAUAAUACGCACAGCGAGUAUCACCGAGCUCGAAAGGGCAAGGUAAACAAUAGAAAAGGUACUGUAAUGGUUAUAGAUCCUUGUAAUUAUUGAUCUUCAACGAGGAAUUCCUAGUAAGUAUGUGUCAUCAUCACGCACUGAUUACGUCCCUGCCCUUUGUACACACCGCCCGUCGCUCCUACCGAUUGGGUGAGCCGAUGAAACUCUCGGAUGUAGGCUAUUCAUAACCCGCAGAAGAGAUUUGAAUCGUAGCGCUUAGAGGAAGGAGAAGUCGUAACA